GGGCGGCGCGGUGCCGAGUUUGUCCGCUCCUCCUGGCCGUGUCAUGCGUUCGUGGGGUCCGGGGCCUCCCUGGGUCGGUGCCACUUACGUACGGCAUAGUGACGGAGGGCCAGGAUCAGCAGCAGCGGGGUGGCACUGAGUUAUCUGAGAUGCGCUAUGGAAAUGAUGAGAAUGACUUCUGAGGCUGUGAGCGGUGGCUGAUGAGAGAAGCUAAAGAGAGGAACCUCAAAAUUGAACUGACUGAUAUGCAAUGAAGGGACAUUUCAUGGCAAAUGCAUGAAAGUAUGUCUGUUUUCCUUCUUAAAAGUGAAAUGUGCUUCUGAAGUUCCCUUGUUAUCACAUGUGCUUUGCUUGUCUGAUUUUUCUGUAGAGAAGAGACCUUCAUCCUGUGACUACUUUGCUUCCUGACCUCUCAUGGUAGCUGCAGGCAUGAAGCACUAACAGGAACACAGGGUCCUUAGACUUUUUUUUUUAAAUCUUUUAUUUUAUUUACUAAGCUUUUAUUUUGAACUUCAUAAGUCAGUGUAUACUAAGGAGGGCAUUUUAAAGGAAGCUGCAAUUGAACCGUACGAACUCAUCUUCUUACUGGUUGGAAAACAGCUUAUUUUGUAAGUCAGAGAUCCAGAAUUCUUUCAGAUUCUCAAGUGUUCCAGUGGAUAUGAUGCCCUUUAAUUAUUGAUGUACAGCUGCAGGCUUUCAUUACAUGGUCUGAUUUACUUUUUCCAUAAAGUAAGAGCUCAGUAUUUUAACUGUGCAAAAGUCAAUACCUAGUUUAGAACAUGAAUUGGAAAGAGACAGUAUUUCACAUCGGGUAACACUGUGCUGUCACUGUUUCCUUCCCUGCAACCCCUGUUUGGAAGCUCACUUCAAGUUAUGUUAUGCUGAAAUGGAAUCUUAAUAUAAGUUCUACUAUAUUCAUUAUUCAUGUCCUUGUUGCUGCUUUGAGGCUAAGAAGGAAAUGCAUUUCUUCUCAAAAGAAGGUAAGGGCUAAGCUGAGAGUGAAGAAAACUGCUGAUUCUUUUUUUCCUCUCCACGCACAACUUGGCAGAAAUUGGAUCCCUUCUGCUUAAAAUCAGUCAGUCAGCAGCUAUUAGAAAAGUUCUUUUAGUUUUUGUAUGCUGUACACCUUGUGUACAGUUGUGUCAUUUGGCCGUGGCAGCAUCUGCAGCUAUUUCAUUCAGUGAUUAGUUUUAGCAGAAUAAUACAGAAAAUGGUGUACAACAGUUAAAUGUGACGUGACAUUAGGAGGGAAAAACCCUUUGUAACUUCAGUGUCCUUCACAAGGCUGGCAUAGAUAACAUUUUGCUUGCUCCAGGGAGUGCUCUCUUCUGAAACACUUUAUCUUCAUUUGUAUGUAAGGCGGCGUGAUACACUUGUAGUCUGUUAAACUGAUCUGUGGUCAGAGUUUAUAGCAGGACAGGUAAGCAGGAAUUUUAUAAAGAAACUUCCUUAGGCACUGAGCUAAUAAACUCUGAUCACCUGCAAGAGGCUUUCUGAGAAAUAGCAAUUAUAAUAUGGUGUUGCAUAACUAAUUUUUCUGUGGUUGUUUUGUUCCUGAUUUGCCUACAGUAGGCAGGACUUGGCACUUCAGCGAGUUUAUAGUGCUUUAGGAAACAUGCAUUACAUACUUUAAUUACAUAGACACGUUUUACAUAUGGACUUGUAUUACUCACUUCCACCACUCUGUUUUCAGAGAAACUGGUGAGAUCCAGAAGCUCACUAGAUCUCUGUACUUUUUUGUUACAAUAAUGUCUGGAUUCUCAGUUCCCAUUUAGUUGUGAUGGCAGUGCAGUGUUUGGGAAGCAUGCAGCCAGCUGACUUGUUCUUCUCGAUCUGGGUUUUGUCUCACGGUGGUCGUGUUUUUACCUUUGUAUAAUCAGUAGUCUUCAUUAGGGAGGAAGUCUUGUGAAGGAAAUGUUGGUCACUGACAGUGAGUUGCUCUGCAGCUCUUGCAGCCCACCCAGCAUGCCUUUUGCAGCUCAGCUUGUUGCCAAGGCGUUCAAAAAGAGCCAAGUUGGGUGCUAAGUCGUAAAUGAAGCUGCAUGUUUCAGUUGGGACCUUGUGCUGUAUCUUGCUGUUGAUAAUAAAUAUUGAAAGCUUGGCCUAAGGCAGUACAAGACUGUGCUGCUUCUCCUUUAGCGUGUUAAGGUUACAGGUCACCAAGGGCAAUAUCAGAAUGAAGCUUUGCUUUAGCAAGCUGUGGUGGUGGCCCCGCACGGCCUCCUGCACGAUCCGCCUCCUGCCUUUCCUGUUGGCCAUACCUGCCUAUUCCGUCAUUUCGUUGGCUGCCGCCGCCGCCUGUUAUAAGCAUGCCCCGCCUCCGACCCUUCUUCCGGGAGAGGCCCGCCCGCCCCUUCGCCUCUGCGGAGCCAAUUGGCUGCCCUGGCCGUCACUUAAAGCUUGGGCGGAGGGGCAAUUAGGCGAAAGAGGUUACGUGGGGGGUGUCUGCUCCGCGCGUGCGCGGUCCGAGUGAGGUGAGUCGGGGUAACAGGCGUGCGGAGGCGUGACGCCACCCGGUGCGACGGACAGCAGCUAGGGUGUGCGUCACGUGACGAGGGGAGCCGGCUGUACGGGGCUGAGGAAACACAGGUCCUCGCAGGGCUGGGCGGUGGGUCUGGCGCGUUAUUGGGGCGCGGGAGUCACGCAGGGCCAGGAAGGGAAUCCAAGGCGUCCUGCUGGAGCUGCGGGUGCAGGACGUGUUCUGGGGGCUCCGUGGGGCUGGGAAGGGGGUGGAGAAGGCACGGGGGCCGGGGGGUCACGGACCUGUUUUGCGGGGUAUUCCCCUGGGACUUGGGAGAAGGGGCAGCGGUCUCCGUGCCUGAUGGGGCCGUUCUUCCCCCGAAUUCCACCUCCUCCCUUUUGUUCCCCUCUCGCAGACCGUGGCCUCUCCUCUUUACCUCACGCUGGUGCGGGGCGAGGCCUCGGAGAUGACUCAGAGUCGGAGCCGGGGGGGAGCGCGGCCGGGAACCCCACAGCGG